GCAGCAGACAGCGCAUAGCGCCGCUCCUACAGCAGCGUAUAGCGCCAAUAAACAGCUCUUUGCUGUUUCCGUCGAAAAUCGCAUCAGGGUUGGAAAGUAUUCGGGGAAAUACGGGAAACCCGGGUCGAUCAACGCCGGUUAAUCAGGGUUACAGUCGCAAAUCCCCACUAAAUCACCACAAUGUCUCUCGUUCUGCAACGGCUCUCUUUUAACUCAGACAGAAGAGAACACACAUCAACGCAUUUGAAGAGGCCGACCAGGUGAAUGAAUGUAGUGCACUCACGUACCUCGGGGGCGGAGCCAGGUGUUAGGGUAGGAGGGGAGAGGACGUCAGUUUGAGGAAACGAAACCUAAAGAGCCACAACGUGGAAGCAGUUCCCUCUUUCGGGAGAUAGUAACUAACACGCAUUAAAUAGUCUGACAGACAGAAAAAACAACAAGGAAUGUCCUGUGCCAACACUUCCGGGUCUGAGCCUCUCGAACUGAAGAUGGUCCAGCAGUAUGAAGUAGAUGUGACUCUGGAUCCUGUUACAGCUCAUCACUGGCUCAUCCUGUCUGAGGAUGGGAAACAAGUACAUGAUGGCGGGAAUCCUCCCAGACAACUGGGAAAACUCCCAGACAACCCUAAGAGAUUUACAAAUGGUACAUAUGUCCUCACGAGGCAGAGCUUCUCCUCAGGGAGAUUUUACUUUGAGGUCCAGGUUAAAGACAAUACUCAAUGGUGUUUAGGAGUGGCCAGAGAGUCCAUCAACAGAAAAGGUGACAUCAGAUUAUCCCCUGAGACAGGAUACUGGUUUCUUAACUACUACAAGGAUGGGUUGGUAUUCGGAGAUAACCCUGAUGUCCGUCUCCCUCUGAGAGCUGAGCUCCAGAAGGUGGGGGUGUUUGUUGAUUAUGAUGAGGGUCUGGUCUCCUUCUAUGAUGUGGACGCCAGGGUUCAUAUUUACUCUGCUACUAGCUGCACCUUCAGUGAGCCUCUCUAUCCAUUCCUCUGCCCAGGUCCCCACAAAUAUGAAGGUACAAACUCUGCCCCCCUGAUCAUCUCACCUGUCAAUCAAACAGACUAGGACCUUUGUUUGAUAAUAAAAUAUUCAAACAUCCAAAACUA